ACGCAGUAGGAUAGGCGAAGUGUGCGAUUGGAUUGCACGUCUAAGCAGUAAGGCUGAGUAUUAGGCAAAUCCGGUACUCGUCAAGCAUGAGCUGUGAUGGGGAGUAGACAUUGUGUCGUCGAGUCGUUGCGUGCACACUGCCGAGAAAAGCCACUCGGUCGAAAAUAGGUGACCGUACCGAAAACAGACACAGGUAGUCAAGAGGAGAGUUCUAAGGUGAGAGAGCGAACUCUAGGUAAGGAAC
rnacentral:rRNA from 1 species